rnacentral:rRNA from 1 species
UAGUUCUGACCGUAAACGAUGCCAACUAGCGAUCCGCCGAUGGAGAUUAUAUUGCCUUGGUGGGGAGCUUCCCGGAAACGAAAGUCUUCCGGUUCCGGGGGAAGUAUGGUUGCAAAGCUGAAACUUAAAGGAAUUGACGGAAGGGCACCACCAGGAGUGGAGCCUGCGGCUUAAUUUGACUCAACACGGGGAAACUCACCCGGCCCGGACACUGUGAGGAUUGACAGAUUGAUAGCUUUUUCAUGAUUCAGUGGAUGGUGGUGCAUGGCCGUUCUUAGUUCGUGGAGUGAUUUGUCUGGUUUAUUCCGAUAACGAGCGAGACUCUAACCUACUAAAUAGCUGAUACAUAUUUUUUGUGUAUUCGGCUUCUUAGAGGGAUUUGCGGUGUUCAGCCGAAAGAAAUUGAGCAAUAACAGGUCUGUGAUGCCCUUAGAUGUCCGGGGCUGCACGCGCGCUACACUGGCAAAAUCAACGUGCUUGUCCUGCCCCGAAAGGGGUGGGUAAACCAUUGAAAAUUUGCCGUGAUUGGGAUCGGAAAUUGCAAUUAUUUUCCGUGAACGAGGAAUUCCAAGUAAGUGCGAGUCAUCAGCUCGCGUUGAUUACGU